rnacentral:snRNA from 1 species
GGAUGUGAGGGCGAUCUGGCUGCGACAUCUGUCACCCCAUUGAUCGCCAGGGUUGAUUCGGCUGAUCUGGCUGGCUAGGCGGGUGUCCCCUUCCUCCCUCACCGCUCCAUGUGCGUCCCUCCCGAAGCUGCGCGCUCGGUCGAAGAGGACGGCCUUCCCCGAAUAGAGACGGACCGGUCUUCGGUCGAGGGUAUACGAGUAGCUGCGCUCCCCUGCUAGAACCUCCAAACAAGCUCUCAAGAACUCUCUUCAUUCUUUCCCACUAUCUCUAUCACUGUCAUUCUCACUCUUGGGCUAAAGCUAUUUUAAAACACUAGGUCAGGGAGUGGUGAUGA